GACGUGCUGCUCCCGCCGCCAGCCAAGCUUGCCUAAAACAACGCAACAUUUGCUCUUUAACGGCUUGCAAUCCGACGCCAGUGUGCUCGUCGACGGCUCGCGAGAGGAAGACACGGUCUUCACCGAAUCGCACAAUCCGCUCAACCCCGCGCUACGUCAUGCUGAACCAGCUUCCGCCAACAGCCCGCGAUUGCCGACAGCGCCCGACCAACCUCACCAACGACGGGGACGCGACGGUAGAAGUCGCGUCCCAAGCCGUCGGACAUGGCGAUCGGGCCAUGCGAUCCCGUUCAUCGGGAUUUCGGGGUUCGCGAUGAACGUCAACCCAGGCCACAGGUUCCAAAAGUUCUUCCUUUAUUUAAUUUAUUUUAAUAAACAAUUAAAAUUAAAAACCCGCAAUUUUUCAGAAUGAAAAUUCAC
rnacentral:lncRNA from 1 species